rnacentral:rRNA from 1 species
CCUACGGGGGGCAGCAGUGAGGAAUAUUGGUCAAUGGCCGAGAGCCUGAACCAGCCAAGUCGCGUGAAGGAAGACUGCCCUAUGGAUUGUAAACCUCUUUUGUCAGGGAGUAAAGUCCCCCACGUGUGGGUGUUUGCGAGUACCUGAUGAAAAAGCAUCGGCUAACUCCGUGCCAGCAGCCGCGGUAAUACGGAGGAUCCGAGCGUUAUCCGGAUUUAUUGGGUUUAAAGGGUGCGUAGGCGGGUUAUCAAGUCAGCGGUAAAAUCGUGGAGCUAAACUUCAUCCAGCCGUUGAAACUGGUGAUCUUGAGUGGGCUAGAAGUAUGCGGAAUGCGUGGUGUAGCGGUGAAAUGCAUAGAUAUCACGCAGAACUCCGAUUGCGAAGGCAGCAUACUGGCGCCCGACUGACGCUGAAGCACGAAAGCGUGGGUAUCGAACAGGAUUAGAUACCCUUGUAGUC